CAGGAAGUCUGACAGCCCCAUAUGUAAAGUGGAUUAAAGGACCAACAUCAGCACCAGAGAGAACAGCAGAGCCACAGGACGGGCAACCGAGGGAAUAAAGUGGAGGAAGGUGAAAGAGGGACUUGAUUAUCCUCAUCCUCAGAGGCUGUAUGAAGGCAGAGCUAGUGGCUCUGUAGUCCGGAACAGUGUGCCUACUCCUAGAUGCCCUCCGGCUGUGUACUGAUGGGUUCCUUUGGCCAGCCACAAACACUGUACCGUGAGAAAGUUUCCUGUGAGAGGGAACGAGUCCUUCAAGACCUGGAAUCUGAUCCUGCAUCUUCAUUGCUCAGCCCAAGUUUCUUCCAAGAAGUUUCUCAAGCUUCUCCAUCCACCUUGCCUAAAAUUUAAAAACUCUCUAGUCAACUCAAGGCACCCGCACAGAAUGUUCAUCUGGGGCCCAUCAUAUUGGCCUUAACGGUGUGCGUCUGCAGAAAUCUGAAGACCAUCCCAGGCCGCCGACUUAAUUACGUCCAGGAUGCACGCCAGAGGUGAAAAGCCGCCGAGCACUGUUUUUCAAUCAUCAUCUCGCCAACUGAGCUGGACUAGUGACACUAAAACCAGCAAUUAAAAGCCUCAGGUUUGGAAAUACGUUCAGUUUCCCAAGUCCCCAAACGGCAAAGGUUAAGUGAAUUAUGUGGAGAUAAUUCGCC
rnacentral:lncRNA from 1 species